GAUGAGGUGCUGAAUUGUAAGAACCCUGAAGUCUUUAGGGUAAUCCUCUAGGAACCUUCAGACCUUAUCAAGUCCCCUUGUUCUAAAUGCCCCUAGCGCCCUAUCCUUUUCCCUUGUCACCCUUCACCAUGGUUUGUAAUGACGUUUUUAUGUAAUAUUUGAUUAAUGUCUGCCUUCCUCGCUGACCUGGCAGUUCCACCAGGGCAGUGAUUGUGCUUACUGUUAUACCCCCAGCAACAGCCCAGCGUGUGGCAUUCAGCAAACAUCUGUUGAAUGAAUUGUCAUGUAUAGUUACUCAAAUUGGACUGACCCACCUUGAUUAUUGGGGUUAGGGUUGUGGCAGAAUUGGCAAAAUCAGGGAAAGUUGUCCUUGUCCCCUCUGCAUCUCCUAUGCUAUUCAUACCCUAAAGCACAUACAGAGAAUUUUGUCUCAAUGAGAUAGCUAAUUUCGAUUUGGUUGUGAAACCCUUUACCAAAGCUCUAUUUCUUAUAUUUUUAUUGGACCAUUUUAUUGAAGAAUUCACUAUUGUGGUGAUUGGCCUAAUAUGUGGAAAGCCUUGCAGAGGAGUGGGUCAGGUCUCUGUGAUUAACAAGCAGUCUUCCUUGCUCCUGUGUCUUUAUAAAAUUAUUUAACUGGAAUAGUCCGUGCUCACUCAGGCUCACUCAGGAAGUGUUGGAUCCUGUAGGAACGCCUGGGAAGUCGAUGAGGGAAAGGUCCUGGAUUCUGGAGACUUCACUCCCUUGCAGGAAACAAAAGCUGUAGAAGGUGGCCCCGGGGUAACCUGAAGCUGACUCCUUCAGCCCUCACUUCUGGGCCCAGUGGGAGCUCCAGGAGUACCACCUUGUCCCCUGCUUUGCCACACAAAGCGUUCUCCUCCCAGCUGAGGCUGCGAUUCAUCCCUUCCCCCAGCCUGCUUUCCCUGAGGUGGGGAGAGUGUUUCCCAGGGCCCAUGUGACUUCCACUGGCAAGUGACGAUUACAGAUGGUUUACUAGUCAGUAAAACUGCCAAAGGCUUUUGUGCUGUAAUAAUCCUUUUCCUGUUUAAAACUCUGGGGAUUUUCUACUGUUGCCAGUAGUUUUUCAAGUCAGCAAUUACGGUGUGGAUUAUGUAAUGGCUGGGUAUUAAAAAUAGAAAAGACCAGAGUUUGCAUCUAUUUUAACCAAAUCAAAAGAGAGCAAAGGGAGGGGAAAGGAGGAGAGGGAGAGACUAGAGGAGGAGGGAAAAAGAGAUUACGUGACAAGAAGCAGUGAGAUGGCGUCAUGUGACUGGACAAUCCAGCCCACAGUUUACUCUGCCCUUCUCCUGCCGUUCUUGGUCCAAGGGGCUGCACUCCCUCCUCGGCCUCCUCCAGGGAGGAGACCCUGCAGAGAAUUCCGGGGUCAAAAAACCCUCAUGGAUAUUCCUCAGCUCAGCCUUGGGGUGUUUGCCUGCCUCUGACAAGCAAAAUGACUAAGGAGGGAGGGGACUGAAUUUGAAGUCCUCCCUCCACCCCCAAAUCCAGGACUCCUGUGUCUUGAUUUCCAAGGUCUUGGUGCUCAGUUUGUUUCUCUUGUCGCAGUGGUAGAGUCAAGGGGUAGUUUAUGGGGGAGUCUUUAGCAUCCCAAAUUUCUGUCAGUAUCUUCCCAAAGCCACCCCAAAUAAAUAGCGUAUUUGAAAACUGUGUGCUCACUAGGAAAACACUGCUUUACUAUAGUUACUCCCAACCCUUCCACUGUCUGUCCCCACUCCACUCCUCUUCUCACUGGAUUGCCACCUCUAAGCCCCUCAUGUAGGAAUUCCAGGGCUACCACUGGUUUGUUCUUGUGUGACUUCUUACUAAUCUCCACCCCCAUCCCACCCCAAGUUAAGAAAUCUUUGUGUUUUUCUAGAGACUUGUUGAAUAACUUUAAGGACCCUCUCUCUCUCUUUUUUUUUUGGCUGAGGAAGAUUCGCCCUGAGCUAACAUCAGUUGCCAGUCCUCAUUGUUUUUUCUUUUUCAUGUGAGCCACGGCCACAGCAUGGCCACUAACAGAUGAGUGGUGUACGUCCAUGCCCAGGAUCCAAACCCAGGCAGCCAAAGCAGAGCAUGCCAAACUUAACCACGAGGCCACCGGGGCUGGCCCAAGGACCCUCUUAAUGGUGAAAUUUUAGGUACAAGAUUUUAGGGGCUGGCCCGGUGGUUCAGUGGUUAAGUGCACACAUUCUGCUUCUUGGCGGCCCGUGGUUCACCGGUUCGGACGUGGCAGGGAGAUUAGCCCUGAGCUAACAUCUGCCACCAAUCCUCUUUUUGCUGAGUAAGAUUGGCCCUGAGCUAACAUCUGUGCCCAUCUUCCUCUAUUUUAUAUGUGGGAUGCCUGCCACAGCAUGGCUUGAUAAGCAGUGUGUACAUCCAUGCCCGGGAUCCGAACCAGUGAACCCCAGGCUGCUGAAGCGGAGUGCACAAACUUAACUGCUAUGCCACCCGGCCAGCCCCUCAAGGAUGUUGGUACAAAUUGCCCAAUUGUCUUCCAGAAAAGAUGUAUCAACUUAGACUCUCACCACCAGUCCUGUGAGAGUAUCUCUUUCACUACAUCCUUCCCAACACAAGGAUGAGCUUUGAAGUCAUUGUGCCAAGUCCUGCUUGUUCCUUUGGACUACACAGUGGGAGCUGGAAACAUGGGUGACCCCCGUAGGGGCUUUUGUAUUCAUAAGCACCAGGCUUACGAACGAAUACAAACACAGCAAGUCCCAGGAGCUGGUUUUGGUGGGGCUGGACUUCUCCAUGCAGAAUCACAUGGCCUCUUUAGGAAGAAGCCCCUCGCCGCCAUUGACCUCCACUUGGGGCAUCCUCCUGUCUCCAGUCCAAAGACAAUCCUGUGGACCUCAGAGCUCUUGUGUCUCUGCUGCUGCAGCACCCAUCCAUAUGUGCCCCACUGUGGCCGAGCCAGCCUGUACUGGGGUGUUCCUGUCCAUCUUGCAGGGGACCCUGCCUCCAGCCAGUGUCCUCUCCAAGCCUGUCUCCUCUAAGGAUUUCCUGUGGGUUAGCUCUGGGGAUCUUUUCUUAAUCUAUUCCUACGUGUGUUAUUACAGAAAGAAUUAUUCAUAAUUGCCAGCAUUGUGAUGGCUUCUUCCUAGUUUCUUUUGAGCCUGCAUGUUUUUCCCUACUUGACAUUUUCUAGGUUCUCUCCUACUUAAGUGACUUCUUCAGGAUCUUUUCUAUUGAGGAGUAAUGAACGAACAGUAAAGUCACAAAUCCUAAGCAUACAUUGCAGUGAAUUUUUACAUAUGUGUACACUAUGUAACCACCCCCCCAAUCAAGGUGUUUCUUUUAGAGUUGAGAAGUUCUUGGUGGGAGGUUGAGUGGAGAAGGAAAUCAUGAGUGUGUCCCCGAGCUACCGUCUUUUUCUAGAACUCUCUUUAAAGGGUGUUAAGGAGGGAGCUGAACGUCAAGUCUAUACAGUGGUGUGGAGAGCAGAAUGCUUAGGCGUGGCAGGUCAUGUUCUGGUCCUCCCCCUUACUAGCCGUGGGACUUCUGUGCCUCAGUUUCAACCACUGUAAAAUGGGAGUAGAUGAUAGCUCUUACCUCACAAGGUUAUCAUGAAGAUUACACGAGGCAGUACAUGUAAGUGCACAAAAAAUGUUAAUUGUUAUUUUUGUUGUUAUUAAUAAUGAGGAGGAGGCACUGGUUCUUAAUGAAGGAUAUGUAUCAGAAUCACCUGGGGCACUUUCGCAAAAUACACAUGCUCAACCUGGCCAGAUCUACUGAGUCAGAAUCUAGAUUUUAAAUGCCUCCCCAGGUUCAUUCUGUUGCUCAUCCGUGGUUGAGAACCACUGGGCUGGAGGUGGUCAUGACUGGAAGCAGGAAGGCCAACAGGUAGCCCCUGCGAUAGUGAGAGCCGGAGAGGAUCAGAGCUGAGCAGAUUUGAGGCAGAGUGGAGAGGUAGCCAAGAUGUGGCGACCUUGGGUGGAGGAGCGAGGAAGGAGGGGGAGGAGUCUGGGGUGACUCACAGGCUGCUGACUGGACAAUGGAGUGAGCAGGUGGAGGAUGAGCCAGAAGUGGGAAUACAGGAAGGGGGCGUGGGGUGGGGCAGUGGGCCAGAGAUUGUUAUAAUUCCCCUUGGGAUUGUUGAGUGGAGACUCCUGGUGGGAAUAGCAAGUUAGUAUUUGGAUCUCUAGGCCUGGGCUUCUGGUGUUUUUCAGGGAGUCAUCGAUGUCAAGGAGAUAGAUAAAGCCAUGGACCUGGUCACAGUGCAAACAUAGAGGGCAGAAGAGGGCUACAUUCACUAGUAUCCACCUCUGGGAAGGCCUGCGUCCACUUCCUGUUUCCUCCCUAGCAAUAGAGAAGCGCUUGUUUCUCGUGUAAUAACCCCUUUGCUGAGGACGUUGGGGAAUAAGCUCAGUCUUCUCACUUGAAGAUGACCAAUGACUAUGGGUCACUUCCUUUCCUUACAGGUCUCAAAAUUUUCCGCAUCCUCUGAUGGAGGAGCUUAAUCCUUAUUCAUCAGUAUCUUCAGACAGCACAUCUGGUUGGGGCAAUGUCUUAUCUUCCAACACCCCCUGAUCCCCCAUGCUCUCACACAUACUCAGCCUCUGGUGGAUGGCUUCUUAGACUCUGGCUUUCUUCAGGCCCUUGAUAUCAACGAGUUGCUCUUUGGCAAGAAUUUAAGCCCUUCGAGUACCUCUCCCAGAGGCGUUUGCAUUUAGAACUAUAGGUGUAAUAGAAAUAAUGGAAGAUGUUGCAUUCCUGAGGGAAGGCGAUCCUGGAAUGAAAUAUUCAUUCUCUCAUUCUAGAACAUCCCUGUCUAGUAGACCUUUCUGCGUUGAUGGAAAUGUUCUUCUGUGCUAUACAAUACGAUAGUCACUAGCCACAUGUGGCUAUUGAGUGUUUGAAAUGUGGCUAGUGUAACCGAGGAAUUGGAUUUUUCAUUUUAAUUAAUUAAAAGUUAAAUUUAAGUUGACAGAAGAAAAGCACGCACUGUUAGUUUGCAUUCACUGGAUCAAUGAACGAUAGGGACGCCAGGCCUGACACUCUACUAUCAAGCAGCCCCCAAAGGUCACUUUGAAAUCAAAUGGGCUUUCUGUCUCUCGCCCCUCCAAGAAGCAGGUAUCUACAGCUGCCCCCACAGGCCUCUCUGAGCCCCUGCGCUCCCCACUCCUUACCUAGGACAUUGCCCAUGCCUUUCCUUUUGCCCUGCUGCCCCCUCUCCCUAUUCCUGCUCAUGCCAUAGCAUCCUCACUUCCCCCGCAAAAGGCUUCCCUGACUCCUGUCCCUUCCAGGUGAAGCCAGGUUUAGGGCCCUGAAUAGAUUCCAUUUGGCUUCCCCGUUGCAGGUGGAGGUGGCAGGGAUGGAUCUCAGGAAUAUGUAGCUGCAGGACGGAUGUGCAUUGGAUCACUGUGUUUCAAACUUCCUUCAAUAUAUCUCAUGUCCCAACCACCACACACACCUCCAUACAGAUAGAUACAACCAAAGCAAAAGCUUUAGAAAAAUAACACUCUCACUACAUGUGAUGCACUUGGAUAUU
rnacentral:lncRNA from 1 species